rnacentral:rRNA from 1 species
GUAUCCGAGAGGUGAUGAGGUCAGGGCUUUGCCCUGGAUACUCGGUGAUCCCAUACUUCCAAGAAAAGCCGCGUACAGAGCCCCUUCGGUGUCCGUACCGCAAACCGACUCAGGUGGGCGGGGUGAAUAUCCCAAGGCGCGUGAGAGAACCCUGGUUAAGGAACUCGCAAAAUGACACCGUAACUUCGGGAGAAGGUGUGCCAGUGGUCGUGAAGAGCUUCGCGCUCGGAGCGGCUGCUGGUUGCAGAGAAAUGGGGGUUGUGACUGUUUACUAAAAACACAGGACUCUGCAAAGUCGUAAGACGACGUAUAGGGUCUGAUGCCUGCCCGGUGCUGGAAGGUUAAGGGGACGAGUCAGCGCAAGCGAAGCUCCGAACCGAAGCCCCAGUAAACGGCGGCCGUAACGAUAACGGUCCUAAGGUAGCGAAAUUCCUUGUCGGGUAAGUUCCGACCUGCACGAAGGGCAUAACAACAUCCCCGCUGUCUCGACCAGGGACUCAGCGAAAUUGUAUCGGGGGUGAAGAUACCCUCUACCCGCGGCAAGACGGAAAGACCCCAUGAACCUUUACUGCAACUUGGCAGUGAUUUUCGGGAUGUUCUGCGUAGGAUAGGUGGGAGGCUUUGAAGCUGGGCUUCUGGGUUCAGCUGAGCCAACGUUGAAAUACCACCCUGGAUAUUCUGGAAAUCUAACCUAGGCCCGUGAUCCGGGCCAGGGACACUGCCUGGUGGGCAGUUUGACAGGGGCGGUCGCCUCCAAAAAAGUAACGGAGGCGUGCGAAGGUCCCCUCAGCCUGAUUGGAAACCAGGCGUAGAGUGCAAACGCACAAGGGGGCUUAACUGUGAGACCGACAGGUCGAACAGGUGCGAAAGCAGGCGUUAGUGAUCCGGUGGUUCUGCAUGGAAGGGCCAUCGCUUAUCGGAUAAAAGGUACUCUGGGGAUAACAGGCUGAUCGCGCCUGAGAGUUCACAUCGGCGGCGCGGUUUGGCACCUCGAUGUCGGCCCAUCGCAUCCUGGGGCUGGAGCAGGUCCCAAGGGUUCGGCUGUUCGCCGAUUAAAGCGGUACGCGAGCUGGGUUUAAAACGUCGUGAGACAGUUUGGUCCCUAUCUGCCGUGGGCGUAGGACACUUGAGAGGAGCUGCCCAUAGUACGAGAGGACCUGGGUGGACGUACCUCUGGUGUUCCGGUUGUCCUGCCAAGGGCAUAGCCGGGUAGCCAUGUACGGAACGAAUAACCGCUGAAAGCAUCUAAGCGGGAAGUCGGCCUCAAGACUAGGUGUCCCGAGUCGCAAGACUCCUAAAGACCCCUCGUAGACCACGAGGUUGAUAGGCCGGGUGUGGAAACCGAGCAAUCGGAGGAGCUAACCGGUACUAAUAGGUCGUGCGGCUUGACCAU